rnacentral:rRNA from 1 species
AUACGAAGGGGGCUAGCGUUGUUCGGAAUUACUGGGCGUAAAACGCGCGUAGGCGGACUGAUCAGUUGGGGGUGAAAUCCCAGGGCUUAACCCUGGAACUGCCUCCAAUACUGUCAGUCUUGAGUUCGGGAGAGGUGAGUGGAAUUCCUAGUGUAGAGGUGAAAUUCGUAGAUAUUAGGAAGAACACCAGUGGCGAAGGCGGCUCACUGGCCCGAUACUGACGCUGAGGCGCGAAAGCGUGGGGAGCAAACAGGAUUAGAAACCCUAGUAGUCC